rnacentral:other from 18 species
GUGUUGGAAUCAUUCGAAACAACACAGCAAGUUAAA